ensembl:lncRNA
AUGUGGUGGAGGAAACUGAAACACAGAGAGAACACAAGUAGCAUGACCAACAUCAUGCAACUCAUGGCGGCAGAGCUCAUGUAUGCCAUCACCUCCUCCCCAUUUCAGACUGGCACCGGGUUUGUCCUUGACCACGCAAUGCACCUGCCAAACUGUUCCGAGUUCCCAGCCUCACCACCAGAGUAUGCUGUUUUGGCAAAGUGGCCGGUCAUCAUGAUGGUCAAAUUUGCUGAAGAUGACACACCUGAGGACAGACUAUCGGGCCAUGGAUAGAGCUGGAGGCCAUUAACCUUAAAAAACUGACACAGGAACAGAAAACCAAAUACUGCAUGCUGUCACUUACAGGUGGGAGCUAAAUGAAGAGAACACACAGAAAUGCAGAAGAAAACAACAUACACUGGGGCAUUUCGGAAAGUGGAGGGUGGGAGGACGGAGAGGAUCAGGAGAAAUAACUAAUGGGUACUAGGCUUAAUAACCGGGUGAUGAAAGAAUCUGUACAACAAAUUCUCAUAACACAAGUUUACCUGUAUAACAAACCUGCACUGGCACCCUUAAACUUAAAAUAAAAGUGAAAAACUGACAAUAGGAACAGUACCUGUGUAUUGAUAAUUUUUUUUUUAAAAGAGCUUUCACACAUAAAAUUUUAUCUUUUAAUCUUCCAUUUAAUAUUCAAGGAAAAUCUUUGAAAUAAUAGGUAGGUAGAGGCAUGACUAGCUACAUUAAAUAAGAAAAAAGAGGCCGGGCGUGGUGGCUCAACCCUGUAAUCCCAGCACUUUGGGAGGCCGAGGCGGGUGGAUCAUGAGGUCAAGAGAUCGAGACCAUCCUGGUCAACAUGGUGAAACCCCGUCUCUACUAAAAAUACAAAAAAUUAGCUGGGCAUGGUGGCGCGUGCCUGUAAUCCCAGCUAUUCAGGAGGCUGAGGCAGGAGAAUUGCCUGAACCCAGGAGGCAGAGGUUGCAGUGAGCUGAGAUCACGCCAUUGCACUCCAGCCUGGGUAACAAGAGCGAAACUCCAUCUCAAAUAAAAAGAAAAAAGAGUUUAGCCAGGGAGAUUUAAUAACUUACUCAAAGUCACGAAGUUAGUGAUGGAAGUAGAACUAAUACUGAGUUUCCAGACAUGUGAUCAAGUACUCCAGUUACCUACUGACUGAGUUUUUAGUUAUGCCACACUAGCAUGUCUCCCAUAUACUAUGGAAGAAGCACUCUGUAAUGGUAAGGCAAUUUGUACGUAGGGAUCUUUGAAGCAGAAAUAGCAAAUGUCUGUUUUAGAAAAUUUCUGGCAUUACAUCAAAUUCCGAUGGGUAUAUUGAGCUAACCUGGAUACUACCUUUCCAUUCCAAACAAGAUAAAUUAUGGAUAGAAUGUUUAAAACUUUAAACAAUAUAUACCUAACUGUGAAAGUAAGAAAUGAAAAUGCCCAGAUGCUAUAAAUGAGGAGGAAAUUGAAAACUAAAGUCAUGAGAAGGUGAAGACGGAGAGGCAUGAUCUAUCUACUCAGGCAGCUGGCUCUGGGAAACUGGUUCCUGCCCUGAGAAACUCCUAUCUGUGGCCUGAGAACUGGCAUGGUGGCACACAAUCAUCCCAGACUGUGAAUGAAAAGCAUUUGCUCCAGGAAGAAGCUGGAAUCCCAUGCUCAGUACUGGGUGCUGUAUGCUGGUGGGGGCCAAAUGAGAGGACAAGGGUUUAACUUCAAAACUCCUCGAGGGCAUCUCUUCUAAGAAACCAUAAUUAAGAUGUUCUAGUGCUACAGUUUUAAAAGAAUCAUGAGAAUACAGAACAUAGUAUUUUCCAACCAGAAGAGAGGAAAAUGGGAGAGAAAAAGACCUUUCAAAACCUAAAACUAAAAAUUAAAACAUCUUAAAAGGAGAAAUAAGACCUUAAAAGUUAGCUAGAAAACAUACAAUAUUAUAAAUAAGUCUAAAUAUAUGAAUUAAAAGUGGCCUAAAUACAGUGGUUAAACACAAAGAUUGUCAAAUUAGUAAAAAAAAAAAAAAAUUGAAUAUAUAUAAAACCUAAGAGCACUAAACGAUUGAAAAUCAAAGAAUGAAGAAAUAUGAAUACAGAAUUAUAUGUUACAUAUACCAUACACACACACAC